CUUGAAUUACAAAAAUAUGAUUUGGUUGCCAUAAAUUCACUCUAUAAAAGAUCCUCUUGCCAAUGAUUAAGGCAUAGAAAAAAGUGUAAAAAAAGGGAACAAACGGCUGAAAACAAACAUUCCUAAAGGAUUCUUAAGAAACUUUGAGUUUUUCUUUGGUUUUGGGGUUCUUCUUGGCUGGGUUUUAGAAGUUGGAACAGACUCUUGGGUUUGUUCAUUGCUGGUGUUGUUAAACUGAGCUAGAACUGCAGAUUUCCUUGCUUCUUUAGGCUGUUUUUCCCUUUUGCUAGGUAUUUUUCUGAACUUUUGUAUGCUUUGCUGAGUUGUCUUGAAGGGAAUAUGGUGUUUGCCUUAAACAUUUGAUCUUAACCUAAUAAAUCUGAUUCCCAGUUAUGCAAACUACUUGGAUUUCCUUUUCUGAAAUUUAUUUCAUGUGUGUAUGAUAACUGAGUUAAAGGUCCUAUUUGUUGACAUUCAUAUAAUUGGUUCGUUGUUGGAAGUUUCAUUUUGUUUGGAUGUUGAUUCUAUAUCAGAAAUUAUGCUGAAAAAUGAUAAAUUUGUUGCCUUUUUAUCUCUGAAUGAUUAUUAUAAGCUUAGUUGUUAGAUUUUUUUUUAGAAGUUCAUCAAUUUCAUAUCUUUGUUGAAUACAAAUUGAAGUUGUAGUAACAUGAGUUUUACUAUAGUGUUUUGUACAUAAGAUAUGUAGAUUUGUGUUAGUUUGAGGAUGUAAAAGUUGUUUGCUAUUGAUUACCUUGCUGUAGUUUGCAGAUCUGACCAUAAUUGGUCAUGUCUGUAAACAUGGAGGCCCAAAAAAUAACGUCCAGAAGCAUCAUUGGAGAUUCAAAUUGCCUCAUAUAGGAUAUAUAUUUACUAGGCUCUGAUUAGGAAUCAUUUAUUUUUAUUUAAUAAUACAUUGUAAUGUUGUUAUAACUAUUUUUCCAUCACUUGAUAUACAGAUUAUGAGUUCUAUAUAGGAUUACUAAUUGUAUGAAACAUGAUGUAGUUAUUUUUCUUGGUUCAAUACGUAGAAUGUGAUUUUAAUAAGGCUAUUAGUUACGUUAUGGACUGAUUCAUUAUGGAUAUCGUAAAUCGAGCUCAUUUUUUGCUUAAUAAGUCUUGGUUAAAUAAAUAAGGAGAAUAUGUUUGAGUUGUUGGA
rnacentral:lncRNA from 1 species